rnacentral:miRNA from 1 species
UGUGUGUGUGUGUGUGUGUGUGUGUGUGUGUCCUGUCUUCUUCUUUGUGUCCACUGUUUCUCUGCUGGGCUGUUCUUUACAGUCCCAUCAUACACACACACUCACACAUCCACACACCCACACA